AUGCUGCAGGGAGGAGCCAGCAGCAGAGUGCCCACUCACGCAUUCACACAAAGGCCUCCCUCUCACUCUGGUGAGGUCAUAAAAGGCUUGACUCCACCCUGGUGUCUGCAUCCCCAGGCCCGCCCACCCCCAGCCAGGGAGGGAGAAGAGAUUCAUCCUGUGCCCCCACACCAUACACCAGGACCCUCUCACCCCCGGUCAGCCCCACUCACCCCCACAAAGCUGGGCAGCUCCUUGUGCAGAAGCUCCUUCAUCUCCCCCUUACUCAGCUUGAACUUGUCUCCCUCUUGGCCAGAGUACUUGUGGAAGGUGGCGACCAUCACAGCCAGCGCCUGCUCCAGGGGACUGGACAUCUUGGAUCUGAGGCAGACCAAUCAAGACAACAUCUUUCAUUUUUUUCCAUUUUUUUUUAUUAAUCAAAUGAUACAAAACAACCAUCAUCCUGUAAAUGCCCAAGCGCCCAGCUGGUUCUCUCACCCCCCAAAGUCACCAUCCUCAGCCUCUCCCUGAGCCUGCUCUCUCUCUCUUCCCCUGCCCUAAGCCAG
rnacentral:lncRNA from 1 species